GUGGCCGCGCUGAACAUCAUCUUCUCACGGUGGGGCCUGCAGGCGUCGGCGGCGUGGAACAUCAGUGGCGAGCCUUGCAGCGGUGCCGCCAUCGACGGCACCGACAUAGAUUCAGACCCUGAAUUAAAACCGGCCAUUAAGUGUGACUGCUCCUACAACGCCAGCACCGUCUGCCACAUCACCAGGCUGAAAGUAUACGCACUAGAUGUGGUUGGUCAGAUUCCUGUGGAACUGCAAAAUCUAACUUACCUGACAAGCCUGUAUGAACUAUUUCCAACCUGA
rnacentral:rRNA from 1 species